CAUCUGGUGAGAGCUUUCUUGCUGGUGGGAAUCCUGUACAGAGCCCAGUGGUGGUACAGGAGAUCACAUGGUA
rnacentral:sRNA from 1 species